rnacentral:SRP_RNA from 1 species
ACCAGGCAUGGUGACGCGUGCCUGUAAUCCCAGCUACUAGGCGGGGCUGAGGCAGGAGGAUCACUUGAACCUGGGAGGUGGAGGUUGCAGUGAGUUGAGAUUGUGCCACUGCACUCCAGCCUGGGUGACAGAGUANNNNNNNNNNUACUCUGUCACCCAGGCUGGAGUGCAGUGGCACAAUCUCAACUCACUGCAACCUCCACCUCCCAGGUUCAAGUGAUCCUCCUGCCUCAG